rnacentral:rRNA from 1 species
GGGACACGUGGUAUCCUGUCUGAAUAUGGGGGGACCAUCCUCCAAGGCUAAAUACUCCUGACUGACCGAUAGUGAACCAGUACCGUGAGGGAAAGGCGAAAAGAACCCCGGCGAGGGGAGUGAAAAAGAACCUGAAACCGUGUACGUACAAGCAGUGGGAGCACGCUUAGGCGUGUGACUGCGUACCUUUUGUAUAAUGGGUCAGCGACUUAUAUUCUGUAGCAAGGUUAACCGAAUAGGGGAGCCGAAGGGAAACCGAGUCUUAACUGGGCGUUAAGUUGCAGGGUAUAGACCCGAAACCCGGUGAUCUAGCCAUGGGCAGGUUGAAGGUUGGGUAACACUAACUGGAGGACCGAACCGACUAAUGUUGAAAAAUUAGCGGAUGACUUGUGGCUGGGGGUGAAAGGCCAAUCAAACCGGGAGAUAGCUGGUUCUCCCCGAAAGCUAUUUAGGUAGCGCCUCGUGAAUUCAUCUCCGGGGGUAGAGCACUGUUUCGGCAAGGGGGUCAUCCCGACUUACCAACCCGAUGCAAACUGCGAAUACCGGAGAAUGUUAUCACGGGAGACACACGGCGGGUGCUAACGUCCGUCGUGAAGAGGGAAACAACCCAGACCGCCAGCUAAGGUCCCAAAGUCAUGGUUAAGUGGGAAACGAUGUGGGAAGGCCCAGACAGCCAGGAUGUUGGCUUAGAAGCAGCCAUCAUUUAAAGAAAGCGUAAUAGCUCACUGGUCGAGUCGGCCUGCGCGGAAGAUGUAACGGGGCUAAACCAUGCACCGAAGCUGCGGCAGCGACGCUGAUGCGUUGUUGGGUAGGGGAGCGUUCUGUAAGCCUGUGAAGGUGUGCUGUGAGGCAUGCUGGAGGUAUCAGAAGUGCGAAUGCUGACAUAAGUAACGAUAAAGCGGGUGAAAAGCCCGCUCGCCGGAAGACCAAGGGUUCCUGUCCAACGUUAAUCGGGGCAGGGUGAGUCGACCCCUAAGGCGAGGCCGAAAGGCGUAGUCGAUGGGAAACAGGUUAAUAUUCCUGUACUUGGUGUUACUGCGAAGGGGGGACGGAGAAGGCUAUGUUGGCCGGGCGACGGUUGUCCCGGUUUAAGCGUGUAGGCUGGUUUUCCAGGCAAAUCCGGAAAAUCAAGGCUGAGGCGUGAUGACGAGGCACUACGGUGCUGAAGCAACAAAUGCCCUGCUUCCAGGAAAAGCCUCUAAGCAUCAGGUAACAUCAAAUCGUACCCCAAACCGACACAGGUGGUCAGGUAGAGAAUACCAAGGCGCUUGAGAGAACUCGGGUGAAGGAACUAGGCAAAAUGGUGCCGUAACUUCGGGAGAAGGCACGCUGAUAUGUAGGUGAAGUCCCUCGCGGAUGGAGCUGAAAUCAGUCGAAGAUACCAGCUGGCUGCAACUGUUUAUUAAAAACACAGCACUGUGCAAACACGAAAGUGGACGUAUACGGUGUGACGCCUGCCCGGUGCCGGAAGGUUAAUUGAUGGGGUCAGCGCAAGCGAAGCUCUUGAUCGAAGCCCCGGUAAACGGCGGCCGUAACUAUAACGGUCCUAAGGUAGCGAAAUUCCUUGUCGGGUAAGUUCCGACCUGCACGAAUGGCGUAAUGAUGGCCAGGCUGUCUCCACCCGAGACUCAGUGAAAUUGAACUCGCUGUGAAGAUGCAGUGUACCCGCGGCAAGACGGAAAGACCCCGUGAACCUUUACUAUAGCUUGACACUGAACAUUGAGCCUUGAUGUGUAGGAUAGGUGGGAGGCUUUGAAGUGUGGACGCCAGUCUGCAUGGAGCCGACCUUGAAAUACCACCCUUUAAUGUUUGAUGUUCUAACGUGGACCCGUGAUCCGGGUUGCGGACAGUGUCUGGUGGGUAGUUUGACUGGGGCGGUCUCCUCCUAAAGAGUAACGGAGGAGCACGAAGGUUGGCUAAUCCUGGUCGGACAUCAGGAGGUUAGUGCAAUGGCAUAAGCCAGCUUGACUGCGAGCGUGACGGCGCGAGCAGGUGCGAAAGCAGGUCAUAGUGAUCCGGUGGUUCUGAAUGGAAGGGCCAUCGCUCAACGGAUAAAAGGUACUCCGGGGAUAACAGGCUGAUACCGCCCAAGAGUUCAUAUCGACGGCGGUGUUUGGCACCUCGAUGUCGGCUCAUCACAUCCUGGGGCUGAAGUAGGUCCCAAGGGUAUGGCUGUUCGCCAUUUAAAGUGGUACGCGAGCUGGGUUUAGAACGUCGUGAGACAGUUCGGUCCCUAUCUGCCGUGGGCGCUGGAGAACUGAGGGGGGCUGCUCCUAGUACGAGAGGACCGGAGUGGACGCAUCACUGGUGUUCGGGUUGUCAUGCCAAUGGCACUGCCCGGUAGCUAAAUGCGGAAGAGAUAAGUGCUGAAAGCAUCUAAGCACGAAACUUGCCCCGAGAUGAGUUCUCCCUGACUCCUUGAGAGUCCUGAAGGAACGUUGAAGACGACGACGUUGAUAGGCCGGGUGUGUAAGCGCAGCGAUGCGUUGAGCUAACCGGUACUAAUGAACCGUGAGGCUUAACCUU